rnacentral:rRNA from 1 species
UACGGAGGAUGCGAGCGUUAUCCGGAUUUAUUGGGUUUAAAGGGUGCGUAGGCGGGCUUUUAAGUCAGCGGUAAAAAUUCGGGGCUCAACCCCGUCCGGCCGUUGAAACUGGGGGCCUUGAGUGGGCGAGAAGAAGGCGGAAUGCGUGGUGUAGCGGUGAAAUGCAUAGAUAUCACGCAGAACCCCGAUUGCGAAGGCAGCCUUCCGGCGCCCUACUGACGCUGAGGCACGAAAGCGUGGGGAGCAAACAGG